GAGUUUGAUCCUGGCUCAGAACGAACGUUGGCGGCGUGGAUUAGGCAUGCAAGUCGAACGAAUCCCGGUAGCAAUACCGGGGGAAGUGGCGAAAGGGGCAGUAAGGCGUGGCUAACCUACCCCGGGGACGGGGAUAGCCCUCCUAACGGAGGGGUAAUACCCGGCGAUGUGGCGAGGGGGCAUCUCCUUGUCAUGAAACGAGUUUCGCCUCGGGAGGGGGUCACGUGCUAUUACCUGGUUGGCGGGGUAACGGCCCACCAAGGGGAAGAUGGCUAGCGGGUGUGAGAGCACGACCCGCGCCACUGGCACUGAGACACUGGCCAGACUCCUACGGGAGGCUGCAGUCGAGGAUCUUCGGCAAUGGGCGCAACGUGACCGAGCGACGCCGCGUGUGCNACGAAGGCCUUCGGGUUGUAAAGCACUGUCGAGGGNNGANGAUGCCCGCAAGGUUUGACCUAUUCCUNGGGUNAGCACNGGUUAAGUUCGUNCCAANAGCCUGGUAAGACGNACCUUGCGAACGUUGUUCGGAUUCACUGGGCUUAAAGGGCGCGUAGGCGGCUUGCCAGGUCAGGGGUGAAAUCUUUCGGCUCAACCGGAAAAGCGCUUCUGAUACCGGCGGGCUGGAGGAGGGUAGGGGCGGAUGGAACUUCCGGUGGAGCGGUGAAAUGCGUAGAUAUCGGAAGGAACGCCGAUGGCGAAAGCGAUCCGCUGGACCCUUUCUGACGCUGAGGCGCGAAAGCCAGGGGAGCAAACGGGAUUAGAUACCCCGGUAGUCCUGGCCCUAAACGAUGGGNACUAGGUAGUGGACUUGACAUGGGUUCACUGCCGAAGCAAAAGUGUUAAGUCCCCCGCCUGGGGAGUAUGGUCGCAAGGCUGAAACUCAAAGGAAUUGACGGGGGCUCACACAAGCGGUGGAGCAUGUGGCUUAAUUCGAGGCUACGCGAAGAACCUUAUCCUGGGCUUGACAUGUGCGAAAGCGGUGGGGAGUAGGGUGCGGAAACGUUACCCCAACGGUACCCAGUCCGGAACCCACCACAGGUGCUGCAUGGCUGUCGUCAGCUCGUGUCGUGAGAUGUCGGGUUAAGUCCCAUAACGAGCGAAACCCUUGUCUCCAGUUGCCAGCGGGUCAUGCCGGGGACUCUGGAGAGACUGCCGGUGUUAAACCGGAGGAAGGCGGGGAUGACGUCAAGUCCUCAUGGCCUUUAUGCCCAGGGCUGCACACGUGCUACAAU
rnacentral:rRNA from 1 species